rnacentral:piRNA from 1 species
UCCCACAUGUUUGUGCUCAUC